UGAUUUGGGACAGAAAUUUGGAAGCUCACUCCGUGUUGAUGUUCGAAGGUAUUUUUGUCACCUCACUAUGACGAUUCAGCUUCAUCCCAUUUUCUGAGUAAUGGUGAAACACUCGCAAUGGCGCCACUCAUAAUGGAGCUUCCCGUAAUCAACGCCUUUCCCCCAUUGCUCCCUUCUUCCUUAUGCUCAUGCCCAUGUCCUUGUUCUUCAAUUUCAAUCCCUAGCCUCUUCUUCCACCGCAGGAAGAUGUUUCUUAGGUUCCCUGAAUAUCGUAAUUCCUAUCCAUUUCUGCAUACUACACCCAACGCUUCUUUAUCCAAUGCUACUGGCAGGAGCAACAAUGAGAGGGAUAUCUGGGAUGAUCAUGAGUUCGUGGAGGUUAUUGGCAUUGGCAGUAGAAAGGAAGCCGUGCUUGAUUUUUGUCUCGAGUCGGCUCUUAUGACUUCCUCGCUGCGAUUUUGGCAGAUUGUAAAACAUGAUUCUUCAAAAGUGCAACUACUUCAGAGAUUCGUUGAAAAAGAUUACUCUCCAAGGAUGAUUGACGUUCCACUGUCACUACAAUCAUGUUCGAAGGCUGUUAUACUUGUGGUUAGUGCUGGAUAUGGCUUUGAUUACUCCGCAGCUGUUGAUAUGCUUAGAACUAUAAGAUCUGCAAAUGGAUUUACGGUUACAAUUGUCUUAAAGCCUUUUAGCUUUGAAGGGAAAAGGCGCCAGGAUGAGGUUAAACGUUUGGUAGGAAGGCUAAAGGAACAUACAAGCUUUUUAAUCGAUAUUGACACCGAUAGACUACUUGAAAAGGACUUGGUGACUCUUGACGAUGCUGUGAGGUCUGCAAAUAAUGCUGUCUUGUUGGCUAUAAAUUCAAUGUCCAUUGUCAAGUCUGAGAUGAUAAUUAAGUUUGUAGAUGAACCUCAAAAUGAUUUGAAAGAGCUUGGUGCUAUGGACGUCAUGGAAAUUUUGGAGAAUCUUAAAGAAGGAAAGAUCGGAUUUGGAGCUGGCCACAAUUUCCGAACUUCAAUCUUAAAGUCAAUUUACGACUGCCCUUUCCUCACUGUGCAUUUAAAGGAUUUGAAAGGUAUGGUUGUAUGCAUUGUGGCAAGCUCAAGUAUUAUUGAUGACAAUGAUAAAAGUACCCUGUUGAAAACUUUUCGUGAAGUUACCACAUAUACAGGAAAAGUUAUAUUAUCCACGAUUCAAGAUCUAAAUAUAGAGCCCAACUUUCUCAUGACAACCGUCCUUAUUGUUGGUUCGACAAAGCAGCAAUCUUCCAAAAGUAGUAGCAUUUUAUCUAGAUUGGCCCAGCGUUUCCCUUUGGUUUUUAAGCUUUUAUGGAAGCCUCAAGAACUGUUGGUGGAAGCCGAGGAAAGCAAUAUGCCUGAAGAUGCAAGUCCUUCCAAUGUAAGACAGUCAUCAGACUCAGAAGUGAAUGUAACGAAAAUUGCUUCAGAGGGCAUAGAUAAAGAUUCUUAUCAUGGCACAGAACCUGAAAAUUGCCAAACAACAUCCAAUGGCAGUGAUUUAGUCAGUUCAAGUGAUUCUGAGCAACUUGAGGCUGGACUGUUAGGAACUGACACGAAUUCUUCUUUGCCUUUUAGCAAUGGAAUUAGUAGAGGAGCUUCUCUACGCAGAGAUCCCCUCCACAGAUGGAAUUUGGGUCCAGGACAUCAAAUCGCACAGCAGUGGGCCAGAGAAAGAGCUGCUGAUGCUGAGUUGGCUUCUGCACUUGACAAUAUAAGCAUAUUUGACCUCCCAGUCGGAGUGAGACCUUCGGAAGAGGUCCAUGAUAAAGAUUUGCCAAAUCCAGAGAUGAAAUAUGAGAAGAAAUCUAAAGCUUCAAUUAGUACUUCCAGAUUUUCGUCUCAGAAUUCAUUGACUGAUGCAAGUUUAGAAGUGAUUAAGGAAUUUUACGAUACCUCAUCUGCAUUUUUAAAAGGGAAAUCUGCCGACAUUCCUAAGAAGCAAGGACUUUUGUCUGUUCGUGCAGCAUCGAUGCUGGAAGCCGAGCGAGAUUCACCUAAAAAGUGGAGUCCUGUAAUGGAGCUGCAGUAUAGAGGUGGCGUUUACAGGGGACGCUGCCAAGGAGGACUCCCCGAAGGAAAGGGCCGUCUAGUUCUUCCAGAUGGGAGCAUAUAUGAUGGUAUGUGGCGAUAUGGUAUGAGAUCAGGUCAAGGAACAGUCUACUUCAACAAUGGAGAUAUGUUUCAGGGAUCAUGGAGGGAUGAUGUCAUGCAUGGAAAGGUUCAGGAUCCGCAGACGGGACAGACGAUUGGAACGGGUCGCAAAGUGGGAAGAUUGUUUGAGCUCACAUCACUUCGGAUUUCAUCUCCUUCUUCCAUCUCUGCUUCGGUCACUGAUUCUGACACAUAUCAGUGGCAUCUUCGUCUUGGGAUGGUUUUAUUUCCACACAGGGGAUCGGUGGUUUGCAAACUUCUGGAAGGGAAAGGCUUAUGGAGAAGGUCGCUUUUACUCAAAGUCAGGUGAUGUUCUUUUUGGUCAUUUCCAAGAUGGAUGGCGUCAUGGCGAUUUUCUUUGCAUUAAUGUUGAUGGUUCAAGAUAUAUGGAAGUUUGGAAUGAAGGUUAUCUUAUGGGACGUGAGAAUUUGGACUCCGGUGCUGAUACUGCAUAAAUAACAAAUACAUUAUUAUUGUCUCUGUAUUCAUAUUUUGAUAAUCGUCUCCUAGAAAUUGUACAUUCUGGCUUCUAAAUUAAUUCACUUUUCUUGCUCUUUCACAGUUUCAUAUAUCAAAUUCUUUUGGGAUUAUCGUAGAAACGAUGUAUAAUAUGUCCAUUGAUCCAAUUGUACGUGUGAAGAUCAAGUCACUUUUUGUUGCCAGAAACUAUUGGUUUUAUUGUUCCUCAUGGCCUGUUUGUUUCACUGAAUUCAAGUCUAGUUUUUGCAUG